rnacentral:rRNA from 1 species
UACAGAGGUCUCAAGCGUUGUUCGGAUUCAUUGGGCGUAAAGGGUGCGUAGGUGGCGUCGUAAGUCAGGUGUGAAAUCUCGGAGCUUAACUCCGAAAUUGCAUUUGAUACUGCGGUGCUUGAGGACUGGAGAGGAGACUGGAAUUUACGGUGUAGCAGUGAAAUGCGUAGAGAUCGUAAGGAAGACCAGUGGCGAAGGCGGGUCUCUGGACAGUUCCUGACACUGAGGCACGAAGGCCAGGGGAGCAAACGGG